UGUUCAUUAUCUUCACCUUUAUAGGAGUUAUGAGAUUGAUCACUGUUCGUUAUCUUCACCUUUAUAGGAGUUAUGAGAUUGAUCACUGUUCGUUAUCUUCACCUUUAUAGGAGUUAUGAGAUUGAUCACUGAUUGUUAUCUUCACCUUUAUAGGAGUUAUAAGAUUGAUCACUGUUCAUUAUCUUCACCUUUAUAGGAGUUAUGAGAUUGAUCACUGAUUGUUAUCUUCACCUUUACAGGAGUUAUGAGAUUGAUCACUGAUUGUUAUCUUCAUCUUUAUAGGAGUUAUAAGAUUGAUCACUGUUCAUUAUCUUCACCUUUACAGGAGUUAUGAGAUUGAUCACUGUUUGUUAUCUUCACCUUUACAGGAGUUAUGAGAUUGAUCACUGUUCGUUACCCUCACCUUUUCAUUAGAUGAUGUAAGGAAUGUUGCAGUUAAAUAGACAUCUUUCUCCUGUACAUUCAAUGCAACCAAAGUGAGGAUUUCAGUUUAAAGGGAGAGUUCAGAGAGAGAAAGGAACCAUCACCAGCACACAGCCUCCAGGCAGCAGCCAUUCACAAAACCAUCACACAAUAGCAAGUAUAAGGAAGAACUCUCUUCAGAGGGGUUUACCACAUUGUUUUGAAUGAACACAUAAACUGACCAGUUACCACCGGUGUAUCCCUCAACCAUCUUGGUGUAACGCCCACUUUAUCCGUGCACGCAAUGUGCAACAGAUAAGCAUGAAGCAGUGAUGUCAACAUACAUAAAGUUAUACAACAACAAAAAUCUUAUUUAUACCCCACGAAAAGGAAUGGGUACAACUCUGUCAUCUUCAAGUAUUGCUGAUAAAUGAACAUUUAAAGAUUAGAAAUGUACCAAUACUUAAAGGAAUUCACAGAAUCAAAAGAAGAAAAAAAGAUCUAGAAGCUUGAUACCAACCAUGGAGCAUGCUUUCAUACAGCAGUGAGGAGGGUGUGAUUGGUGUAGAUGCCCUGGAGCGCCUAUCAAAAUUCAGACAGAAAAUGAUUCAUGCUUCAAUUUUCAUAAUGUGAAAGUCUUCAAAGGCAAAAUUGUUAAAAGUUAAAGUUAAUACUUGUCAAAAUUCUAAAAACAAGCAUUCAAUAUGUACUGAAAUUUUCCUGUGUCAUAACAAUACUUAAGAAAAACAAGCAUUCAAUAUGUACUGAAAUUUUCCUGUGUCAUAAUACUUAAGACCAAGAAUGUGAAACACUGAUGCCCCCAUCUGGUACCAAAUGAAACGUCUUGUCCAAAGGAAUACACAAAGAGAACAAAUCCUAUCAAUAACCAUUCAAAAGUUACGGCCAAUUUUAAAGCUUUUCAAAAGUGGGUCACACUCCAAGGUGAAGGUUAUGAGGGUGAACAUUUUGGUACCAAAAGAAAUGUCUUGACACAAGAAAUGCACAAGUGAAAUAUGAAAACCUCAGCACUCACUGUUCAAAAGUUAUGGCCAAAGUUAAAGUUUUUACAGACAGACAGAUGGCCAAAAACUAUAUGCCCUUGAAUCUCCAAUUACAGGGGCAUAAAAAGCAAAUACAAGUAAAAUAAUGAUGUUACUAAAAUGUUGAUGGAGAACUACAACAUAUCUAUUGCUGUAGGUGGCGUUCAUCUUCAUUACCUCAGAGUUCUGUUAGCAACAGCUGAUCGUGGUCGCUUCAUGCUUUCAGGGAGCCCAUCUUUCCAGCCAGGUACAUGUCCUGAUCUUGGUCUCUUUUGAAUAUUUUCAAAGAAAAGGUCACGACCUCCAGCCAGCCAAUCAGAUCCCACCUUGACAUGAAGUGCACUAGAAGGUCUUGAAGUAGGGCUUUCUUGAUUGGAAGACUGGAUUCUAAUAAUAGCAGCAGGCGAGGAGGGCCUCUGAGGUGGUGGUGAUUUUCUCCUUCCUUUUGAAAAUGAAAAUGAUCGGUCUUAUGAUUUAUUGAAAAUGGAAUAUUCAAACACCAGAGGUGAAUGGUUCAUCAUAAUUAAUGUAUUUACAGCAAGUUCAUUUUGAGAGAAAACAGCAGUUUCAUUGAUUUAUUCCCCAAACAGGUAUAACACUUAUGCUGAAGACAAAAUAAAAAUGUUGCAAAAGAAAA